rnacentral:rRNA from 1 species
AACGCUAGCUACAGGCUUAACACAUGCAAGUCGAGGGGUAGCAGGGUAGCAAUACCGCUGACGACCGGCGCACGGGUGAGUAACACGUAUCCAACCUUCCCAUAACUCGGGGAUAGCCUUUCGAAAGAAAGAUUAAUACCCGAUAGUACUUUUUCAAGGCAUCUUGAAAAAGUUAAAGAUUUAUUGGUUAUGGAUGGGGAUGCGUUCCAUUAGAUAGUUGGUGAGGUAACGGCUCACCAAGUCUUCGAUGGAUAGGGGUUCUGAGAGGAAGGUCCCCCACAUUGGUACUGAGACACGGACCAAACUCCUACGGGAGGCAGCAGUGAGGAAUAUUGGUCAAUGGGCGAGAGCCUGAACCAGCCAAGUAGCGUGAAGGAUGAAGGUCCUAUGGAUUGUAAACUUCUUUUAUAGUAGAAUAAAGUGAUCCACGUGUGGAUUUUUGUAUGUAUACUAUGAAUAAGGAUCGGCUAACUCCGUGCCAGCAGCCGCGGUAAUACGGAGGAUCCGAGCGUUAUCCGGAUUUAUUGGGUUUAAAGGGUGCGUAGGCGGAAUAAUAAGUCAGUUGUGAAAGUUUGCGGCUCAACCGUAAAAUUGCAGUUGAUACUGUUAUUCUUGGGUGUACAUAAGGUAGGCGGAAUUCGUGGUGUAGCGGUGAAAUGCUUAGAUAUCACGAAGAACUCCGAUUG